rnacentral:rRNA from 1 species
UACGUAGGGUGCAAGCGUUGUCCGGAAUUAUUGGGCGUAAAGAGCUCGUAGGCGGCCUGUUGCGUCUGCUGUGAAAUCCCGGGGCUCAACCCCGGGCGUGCAGUGGAUACGGGGCGGGCUAGAGGCAGGCAGGGGAGAACGGAAUUCCCGGUGUAGCGGUGAAAUGCGCAGAUAUCGGGAGGAACACCGGUGGCGAAGGCAGGUCUCUGGGCCACUACGUGACGCUGAGAGCGAAAGCAU